UAACCUGCUAAAUAGCCCGUAUUGCUUUGGCAGUACGCUGGCUUCUUAGAGGGACUAUCGGCUCAAGCCGAUGGAAGUUUGAGGCAAUAACAGGUCUGUGAUGCCCUUAGAUGUCCUGGGCCGCACGCGCGUUACACUGACGGAGCCAGCGAGUUCUUUCCUUGGCCGAAAGGCCCGGGUAAUCUUGUGAAACUCCGUCGUGAUGGGGAUAGAGCAUUGCAAUUGUUGCUCUUCAACGAGGAAUCCCUAGUAAGCGCAAGUCAUCAGCUUGCGUUGAUUACGUCCCUGCCCUUUGUACACACCGCCCGUCGCU
rnacentral:rRNA from 1 species